GGGCCCGCACAAGCGGUGGAGCAUGCGGUUUAAUUCGAUGCUACGCGAAGAACCUUACCAACCUUUGACAUGCAUAGUUUGGAGGAGCAGAGAUGUUCCUUUUCAGUUCGGCUGGGCUUUGCACAGGUACUGCAUGGCUGUCGUCAGCUCGUGUCGUGAGAUGUUGGGUUAAGUCCCGCAACGAGCGCAACCCUUAUCCUUAUUUGCCAGCGAGUUAAGUCGGGAACUAUAAGGAAACUGCCAGCAACAAGCUGGAGGAAGGUGGGGAUGAGGUCAAGUCAUCAUGGUCCUUACAUCCUGGGCUACACACGUACUACAAUGCUACGGACAAAGGGCUGCAAGUUCGCGAGGACAAGCAAAUCCCAUAAACCGUGGCUCAGUUCAGAUCGUAGGCUGCAACUCGCCUACGUGAAGGCGGAAUCGCUAGUAAUCG
rnacentral:rRNA from 1 species